rnacentral:rRNA from 1 species
AGAGUUUGAUCCUGGCUCAGGAUGAAUGCUGGCGGCAUGCUUAACACUUGCAAUUCGGAUGGGAAGUGGUGUUUCCACUGGCGUAUGGGUGAGUAACACGUAAGAACCUGCCCUUGGGAGGGGAACAACAGAUGGAAACGGCUGCUAAUACCCCAUAGGCUGAGAAAAAGGAGGAAUCCUCCCAAGGAGGGGCUCGCGUCUGAUUAGUUAGUUGGUGAGGCAAUGGCUUACCAAGGUGACGAUCAGUAGCUGGUCUGAGAGGAUGAUCAGCCACACUUGGACUGAGACAUGGCCUAGACUCAUAUGGGAGGCAGCAGUGGGGAAUUUUCCACAAUGGGUGAAAGCCUGACGGAGCAAUGUCGCGUGAAGGAAAAAGGCCCACGGGUCAUGAAAUUCUUUUCUCGUAGAAGAAACAAUGAUGGUAUCUGAGGAAUAAGCAUCGGCUAACCUUGUGCCAGCAGCCGCGGUAAGACAGAGGAUGCAAGCGUUAUCCGGAAUGAUUGGGUGUAAAGCGUCUGUAGGUGGCUUUUCAAGUCCGCCGUCAAAUCCCAUGGCUCAAACCUGGAAAGGCAGUGGAAACUACCAAGAUGGAGUAUGGUAGGGGCAGAGGGAAUUUUUGGUGGAGUGGUGAAAUGCAUUGAGAUCGGAAAGAACACCAACGACGAAAGCACUCUGCUGGCCCGACACAGACACUGAGAGAUGAAAUCUAGGGGAGAAAAUGGGAUUAGAUACCCCAGUAGUCCUAGCCGUAAAUGAUGGAUACUAAGUGCUGUGCGUAUCGACCCACGCAGUGUUGUAGCUAACGCGUUAAUUAUCCCACCUGGGGAGUACGUUCGCAAGAAUGAAACUCAAAGGAAUUGGCGGGGGCCCACACAAGCGGUGGAGCAUGUGGUUCAAUUCGAUGCAAAGCGAAGAACCUUACCAGGGAUUGACAUGUCAUGAAUCC